UACGUAGGGUGCGAGCGUUAAUCGGAAUUACUGGGCGUAAAGCGUGCGCAGGCGGUCUGUUAAGACCGAUGUGAAAUCCCCGGGCUUAACCUGGGAACUGCAUUGGUGACUGGCAGGCUUUGAGUGUGGCAGAGGGAGGUAGAAUUCCACGUGUAGCAGUGAAAUGCGUAGAGAUGUGGAGGAAUACCGAUGGCGAAGGCAGCCUCCUGGGCCAACACUGACGCUGAGGCGCGACAGCGUGGGGAGCAAACAGG
rnacentral:rRNA from 1 species